GCCCUGGUGGCGGAAUUGGUAGACGCGCUGGUUUCAGGUAUCAGUGGCCGCAAGGCCGUAGGGGUUCAAGUCCCUUCCAGGGCACCA
rnacentral:tRNA from 1 species